UACGGAGGGUGCAAGCGUUGUCCGGAAUCACUGGGCGUAAAGGGCGCGUAGGCGGCUCGGUAAGUAGGGGGUGAAAUCCUGCGGCUUAACCGCAGGGCUGCCUUCUAAACUGUCGAGCUCGAGCACGGUAGAGGCAGAUGGAAUUCCCGGUGUAGCGGUGGAAUGCGUAGAGAUCGGGAAGAACAUCAGUGGCGAAGGCGGUCUGCUGGGCCGUUGCUGACGCUGAGGCGCGUCAGCGUGGGGAGCAAACAGG
rnacentral:rRNA from 1 species